ACAAAGUAUGUGCUUCACAAGGGACUGGGUUGGGAGAAUAAGAAGUGCCAAUUCCUGGACCCUGGCCCAGCCCUGAGGAUGGGCAUCUGACUGAGCCCUUUGCAGAGUGAGGCUGCAAGCAGAAGCUGAAGGAGCCGUUUUUCUCAAGGGCCCUGUGGAUGUGGAGAAGCCUGCAGGGAUGCUUGGGGGUUCAGAUGACUGCAUGGCACAGAGCCUCCCACAGCUCUGAAGAGCAGUAAGCCAGGUACUGGACAACUAAGCACUGCAGAAAGACCCAGUUGGUCUGGUCCCUCAGGGCAGCAGCUCUGGGGGGCACCGCCACAGCUUUUCACUGUGGAGAUCAGCAGCAGCAGCUAUGGCAGCAUCCUGACCUCACAGGCCUUCCUGCCUUGCAUGGAGGAGCCAGGCAGGAGAGGAGCAAGACCUGUAGAAGCCUGGGUGAUAGAAGACUACUUGUGAGCUGGUGUGAGUCACGCUCAGCAAAGGGGGAAGAAGCAGUAAAAUGGGGUUAGAAUCAUUCCUGGGACUCUGUUUGUAACCAAGGGUUCUAGGGAAGACUGGUUACAGAAGUGAUCUUGGUGUUGAGCACUUAAAGGCCCAAGAUGGACCGGUUCUAUGAAGGUCGGCAGCAUGAAGGUCAUGUGAGCACACAGUGAGAAAGUGGCCAUCUGCAACCCAAGGGGAGAGCCCUCACCAGACACCAAUCAUGUUGGCACCUCGAUCUUGGCUUUUCAGUCUCCAAACUGUGAGAAGUUUCGUUGCUUAUACUGCCCAGCCUAUGGCAUUUUGUUAUGGUAGCCUGAGCAGACUAAUACAACUAAGAUCAAGCAGAACAAGAAUUAAUUAGAUGAAACGGAAUGAACUGAUGAAGAAUAGUUAUGGCUUUUGUUUGAAAUAUUGUUGCUGGAUUUAAGGAACCCCUUUCUCUUUCCUCUGAAGCUAUCUGUAACUCAUUAAUAGAGUAUGCUUUUGUAAACAGAAUGAAACAUUUACCCUUUAUCCUUGCCUAGACUUUCCAGAAUUUGGAAAGUCAUAUUGAGUAUUCUUAUUUUCACGGUAAUAUAAUUAUUUGCAGAGAUGCAGUCAGAGUCUGUUCUCCUUGAACAGUUCAGAGGUUCCUCAGAAAACUCAAAAUAGAGCUACCAUAUGAUCCAGCAAUCCUACUACUGGGUAUAAGCCCAAAAGAAAGGAAAUCGGUCUAUCAAAGAGAUAUCUGCACCCCCAUGUUUGUUGCAGCACUAUUCACAAUAGCCAAAAUUUAGAAGUAACCUAAGUAUCCAUCAACAGAUGAAUGGAUAAAGAAACUGUGGUACAUAUACACAAUGGAGUAUUAUUUAUCCAUUAAAAAGAAUGAGACCCUGUCAUUUGCAACAACAUGGAUGGAACUAGAGAUCAUUAUUAUAAGUGAAAUAUGCCAGGCACAGAAAGACAAACGUCACAUGUUCUUACUUAUUUGUGGGAUCUAAAAAUCAAAACAGGCUGGGCACAGUGGCUCACACCAGCACUUUGGGAGGCUGAUGCGGGCAGAUUAGUCGAGGUCAGGAGUUCAAGACCAGCCUGACCAACAUGGUGAAACCCCAUCUCUACUAAAAUACAAAAAUUAGCCAGGCGUGGUGGCAGGCACCUGUAAUCUCAGCUACUUAGGAGUCUGAGGCAGGAGAAUCACUUGAACGCAGGAGGCAGAGGUUGCGGUUAGCCAAGAUCAUGCCACUGCAUUCCAGCCUGGGCAACAGAGGGAGACUCCCUCUCAAAAAAUAAAUAAAUAAAUACAUAAAAAUAAAAACAAUUGAACACAUGGAGAUAGUAGAAGGAUGGUUAUCAGAGGCUGGGAAGGGUAGCAGGAGAAUGAUGGGGGGAGGUGGGGAUGGUUAAUGGGUGCAAAAAAAAAGAAUGAAUGAAUGAGUAAGACCUGGUAUUGAAGAGCACAACAGGGUGACUAUAGGCAAUAAUAAUUUGAUUGUACAUUUGAAAAUAACUAAAAGAGCAUACCCAGCACUUUGGGAGGCCGAGGCGGGCGGAUCACGAGGUCAGGAGAUCGAGACCAUCCCGGCU
rnacentral:lncRNA from 1 species